CCUACGGGAGGCUGCAGUGAGGAAUAUUGGUCAAUGGACGAGAGUCUGAACCAGCCAAGUAGCGUGAAGGAUGACUGCCCUAUGGGUUGUAAACUUCUUUUAUAUGGGAAUAAAAUGUUCCACGUGUGGGAUUUUGUAUGUACCAUAUGAAUAAGGAUCGGCUAACUCCGUGCCAGCAGCCGCGGUAAUACGGAGGAUCCGAGCGUUAUCCGGAUUUAUUGGGUUUAAAGGGAGCGUAGGUGGAUGGUUAAGUCAGUUGUGAAAGUUUGCGGCUCAACCGUAAAAUUGCAGUUGAAACUGGCAGUCUUGAGUACAGUAGAGGUGGGCGGAAUGCGUGGUGUAGCGGUGAAAUGCAUAGAUAUCACGAAGAACUCCGAUUGCGAAGGCAGUUCACUGGACUGCAACUGACACUGAGGCUCGAAAGUGUGGGUAUCAAACAGGAUUAGAUACCCUGGUAGUC
rnacentral:rRNA from 1 species